UAAUCUGAUAUGAUUGUUUUAAUUUCAGUUGGAUCUGUUGUGAUAUGGCCCAUCCCAUUUCUUAUUUGGAUUAUUGGUUUGUUUUCCUGUAUUUCUUUAGUCAGUCUGGCUAAUGGUUUAUCAAUUUUGUUCAUUUUUUCAAAGAAGCAGUUUUUGGCCUUGUUAACUCUUUCAAUUGUUUUUCUAUUCUCUAAUUCAUUUAAUUUUGCUGUAGUUUUUAUUUUUUGCUUUCUUUUGGUGCCUGACAGUUCCUUUUGUUGCUCUCUUUCUGUUUGUUCAAGUUGUAGGGACAGUUCUUUCAUUUUGGCUCUUCUUUAAUAUGUGUGCCUUUAUUGAUAUAAAUUGACCUCUGAGCACUGCUUUCACCAUGUCCCAAAGGUUUUCAUAGGAAGUGUUUUCAGUCUUGUUGAAUUCUGUGAAUUUCUUUAUUCCCUCCUUAAGGUCUUCCAUAACCCAGUCUUUUUUGAGCAGGGCAUUGUGCAGUUUCCAAGCAUUUGAUUUCUUUUCCCUGGUUUUUCUGUUAUUGAUUUUUGCUUUUAUGGUCUUUUGUUCAGAGAAGAUGUUUUAUAAUAUUUCAAUGUUUUGGGUUCUGCAAAGGCUUGUUUUAUGACCUAAUAUGUGAUCUAUUCUAGAGAAUGUUUCAUGUGCACUAGAAAAGAAAUUAUAGUUUGCAGCUGUUGGGUGGAGUGUUCUGUAUAAGUCUAUGAAGUGAAGUUGUUUAAUUGUAGCACUUAGAUCUUCCGUGUCUCUAUUGAGCUUCUUACUGCAUUUCCUAUCCUUCACCGAGAGUGUUGUGUUGAAGUCUCCUGCUAUAAUUGUGGAGGUGUCUAUCUCACUUUUUAAUUCUGUUAACAUUUGUUUUAUGAAUGUUGCGGCCCUAUCAUUGGGUGCAUAAAUAUUUAAUACGGUUAUAUGUACCUGGUAAAUUGUCCCUUUAAUCUUUAUGUAGUGUCCUUCUUUAUCCUUUGUGGUGGAUUUAAUUUUAAAGUCUAUUUUGUUGGAAAUUAAUAUUGCCUCUCCUGCUCUUUUUUGAUUGUUGUUUGCUUGAUAUAUUUUUAUCCAUCCUUUCAGUUUUGGUUUAUUUGUGUCUCUUAACUCUAAAGCGUGUCUCUUUUAGGAAGCAUACAGACUGAUCGUGUUUUUUUAUCCAGUCUGCAACUUUCUGUCUCUUUAUUGGUGAAUUUAGUCCAUUUACAUUAAGUGUAAUUAUAGAUAAGUAUGAGUUUAGUGCUGUCAUUUUGAUGCCUGUUUUUGACAAUUUCAUUUUCCAUUUACCUUUUUGUGCUGAGUUUUUCUUUGUAGAAUGUGUGUUCUUCCUUUUUAUAGUAGUUGAAUUUAUUUUGGUGAGUCGUUAUGUUUAUCUUGGUUUUUAUUUUGAAGUAUGGAAUUGUUAGACCUUGUUGUGGUUACCUUAAUAUUUACCCUGGUUUGAGUAAGUAAAAACCUAAGUUGUUUCGCCCUGUAUCACCUUGGUUUCCUCUCCAUAUGUAAUUUCUAAGCCUCCUGUAUUUAGUCCCUCUUUUUUCACUAUCGUAAUCUUUUACAUAAUCACAUCAAUGAUUCCCUGUUUUGAGUAAUUUUUUUAAUUAAUCUUAUUUUGUUUUUGUGAUUUCCGUAUCUGGGUUGAUAUCAGGAUGUUUUGUUCUGUGACCUUGUGUUGUGUUGGUAUCUGAUAUUAUUGAUUUUCUGACCAAAGAAUUUCCUUCAGUAAUUCUUGCAGUUUUGGUUUGGUUUUUGCAAAUUCUCUAAGCUUGUGUUUAUCUGUAAAUAUCUUAAUUUCACCUUCAUGUUUUAGAAUUUUGCUGGAUAUAUGAUUGUUCGCUGACAGUUUUUCCUCUUUCAGUGCUCUAUAUAUGUUAUCCCAUUGUCUUCUUGCCUGCAUGGUUUCUGCCGAGUAGUGCAAACUUAUUGAUUCUCCUUUGUAGGUAACUUUUCGUUUAUCCUUGGGUGCUUUUGAAAUUUCUCUUUAUCUUUGGUUUUGGCAGGUUUGAUGAUAUGUCUUGGUGAUUUUCUUUUGGGAUCUAUCUUGUAUGAGGUUCGAUGAGCAUCUUGGGUAGAUAUCUUUUCAUCUUUCACAAUGCCAGGGAAUUUUUCUGCCAUCAGAUCUUCCACUGUUCUCUCUGUAUUUUCUGUUAUCCCUCCCUGUUCUGGAACUCCAAUCACACGCAAAUUACUCUUCAUAGAGUCCCCCAUGAUUCUUAGGGUUUCUUCAUAGUUUUAAAUUCUAUUUGAUUUUUCUUCAACUAUAUUUGUGUCAAUUGUCUUAUCCUCCAGCUCCCCCACUCUGCAUUCCAGUUCCUCGAUUCUGCUCCUGUGACUUCCUAUUGAGUUGUCUGAUUCUGUGACUUUAUUGUUAAUCUUUUGGAUUUCUGAAUGCUGUCUCUCUAUGGAUUCUUACAGCUUAUUAAUUUUUUCACUAUGUUCUUGAAUAAUCUUUUGGAUAUCUUUAACUGCUUUAUCCGUGUAUUCCUUGGUGUUUUCUGUAGAUUGCCUUAUUUCAUUUGUGAGGUCAUUCCUGAUGUCUUGAAGAAUUCUGUAUAUAAUUUUUUUAUAUUCUACAUUUGGCAAUUCUAGGAAUGUAUCUACAUCUGGGAAUGAUUUUGAUUCUUUGAUUUGGGGGUUUGUAGAAGCAAUCAUGGUCUGCUUCUUCAUGUGAUUUGAUGUCGACUGCUGUCUCUGAGCCAUCUAUAAGAUAUUGUAAUAUUUUCUUUUAUAUUUGCUCACUGAGUCUUAUCUUCUUAUUUUGUUUUGUUACAAGACACCCAGAUGGGCUACUAGAUUGUGGUAUCGUGAUUGAUUUAGCUUUUGAAUCACUUACGUCCUAUUACCAGCUUGCCUGAGCUGUUACCAGGUAUAUAAGUGUAUGAGUCCAUUCACUAUUCUUGAAUAGAAUCAGCUCAGGUGUCCUGAUAGCUGGUCACCUAGUGUGUGGUGUAGGCUCUCACGUAUUAUCUUAGAGGAGUAGUGGUGAUGGUUGUAUGCACCAGUUUCUAUUAGUGGCAUGGGGUCACAUUUCGAGGAGGGCAGGAUGCUGACAGCCUUCCUUCAAGUGACAGUGAGGUAGGUGUGGCUCUAUUCUCUAGAGCACUCUGGUGGGUGGGCUUUGCAGCUGUAUCUUAGGCACCCAAUGCUUGGGUAGGCGUCACUAUUCUCAGACCCCUCUAGCAGGUGGCUAGGUGAUGUGGGUGGAGUCUCAGCCCUCAGUUCACUGGUGUGGAUCAGCGAGGGCUCUGUUUAAUAGGUAGAGAGAUAUCUGACCUCCAAAACUUGCCUUUCCACUGCUGAGCUAAAACAAUUAUGGUCAGAUCUCUAUCAGAAUUGCCUUUACAUUGUAAUAGCCACCUAGUUACCUGUAGGGUGAAAGCCAAAGACUAUGGGUCUGUUAAUGCCUGGAUGGAGCUGAUUCUGUACUGUUAUUUCAGUUUAGGGAAGUCAGGGAAGGAUUUUUUCUUUGAUUGUUAAAUGCUGCUUUUCUCAGGCCAGGAGAAUGGGUUAGAAAAGAAAGAAGAAAAAAAAUCCAGCAGUGCACUUCACUCUCUGGCACAGAGAAUUCCAAUGUUAAUGAAGCUGGCUGGGGCAAUGAGGGGUGGAAUCAGAUAUAUAGAAGAGAGUAGCCUGGCAAAAUAUACAAAGUUACUUAUGUUGUUUGGUGAGGACUGUUUUUUCUGAGAUUCCAGAGCAUUGUGUCGCUCGUGUGUGGUGGCUGGAUCCCUGCUGAGACUGUCCCAGAGGGUUAGGGCUGCGUCCAUGCUCACACCGUCUCAGGAAGCCACAAUCGGCUCCCCCACACUUAGUCCAAAGCCCAGCACCAGGGUUUCCUUUCUGGGACGCUGCACUCCAGGCUCCAGAACCAGUCGCUGCUUCCCUAUAGUUUUUCGUUUCCCUGUCAGCCACGUCUGUGUGGAGCCUGUGUGUGCUGCCUGGGUCCCCUCUGAGGUUGGUCCUGAGGGUUGGGCCUAUAUCUGUUCUUCCGUGUCUCAGUAAGCCACAAUCAGCCCCACCACUCUGACACCAGGAAACCACGAGGGCUCAAGGCUGUGGCGUGGGACACUGGCUCUGGAAGUGGUCCCUGCUGCAGCGUGGCUUUUCGCUCCCCCGUCACUCAGGUCAACUCCUUAGUUCUGUGUUUGAUGGUCAGGGUUUGUAGAUUGUCCUUUAUGUAAUCAGUUCACUUGUUUUUUCGAGUCUUUGUUUCAAGAGGGAUAAGCGGAAUCUUCUACCUAGUGAGCCAUCUUGGUCCUGCCCCCGUGUCUGCCUCUUUAUGUGAUUUGAUAUUGACUGUUGUCUCUGAGCCAUCUAUAAGUUAUUGUAUUAGUUUAUUUUAUGCUUGCUUUUUGUAUCCUAGCUUCUUGCUUUGUUUAGUUUUGGUAUACCCAAAUAAGCUGCUUGAGUGCACUAGGUUGAUUAUUUUCACCUUUGAAGCUCUAAUGUACUAUCACCAGAUGGCUAGCACUGUUACCAGGCAUAUGAGCCUAGGAGUUCAUUUAUUUUUCUUGUAUGGAUUCAACUCAGGUGCCCAGGUAGUUGGUCAUAAAGUGUGUGGUACGGGCUCUGUCCUACAGUCUUAAAGGGGCAGGGGUCAUUGGUGUAGGCAGAAGUAUCUGGCUGCAGUAGGGGGUCAGGCUCUGAUCAAGGCAGGGGUCUGACAGCUGUGCUCUGAGUGUCUGUGAGGAAAGUGCAUCCCUGUUCUGUAGAGCACAUGGGUGGGUUCUGUAGAAGGGCAGUGGGCACCCAAUGCUUUUGGUUGUAAGUUCUGGGCGGUACUACUUAUCCUUGGAGCCCUAUCACAGGUGGCUAGGUAUUGUGGGUGGAGCCAGCAGUCCUUAUGCCCCUGAUGUGGGUAGGUGAAGACCCUGUUUAAUAGGCAAAGCAGUGUCAAACAUCAAAUACCCAUCUUUCCACCGUUCAGGUGAAACAGUUGCAGUCUGGCAACAAGGGCCUAUUCUCCUGAAAUGGGCCCACACAGGUCCAUGCUGGGGUGAAAGGUAUUCAAAGCCCAUGGACUGUUUGUGCCUGAACAAGAGCUGCUUCUGUCCUGAGCUCCCCAGCUUAAUUGAGCUGGCAGAUUAUCUUUCCCCCAGUUGUGAACUUAUACCUUCUUCAAGGAUGGAAAAAUGGCUCAGAGUGGUACCAGGGCCUAUCUCAGGCCCAGGGAAGUUGACAGCCACUGAAGCCGGCUUGGGGGCUGGGGGCGUGGUAAAAUAAACACAAGUAAUUAGCUUUUGCUGAGAGUGCCGUUCUUCUCUUGUUCUGGAGGUGUGAGUAGUCUGUGCAACUUGCUGUCCUUCCCUGAGCUAAACGCCUGUGGAACGCCACUGCCAGCCCCACUGCAGUCGCUCCAGGGAACGGUGCCUGAGGGUUCCUGGCUAUUCAGGUCCAGUAACUCCUCUCCACUUCUGAAUAGUCUCUCCCUCCCCCUGCCGCUGAGUCCAUUUUCUAACUUUACCUUUGAUGUUCAGGGCUCCUAGCUUCUCAUAAAUAUAAUCGCUUCACUUGUUUUUUCUGGUCUUUUUUGUAAGAGGGAUCACUGGUGGCGUCUCAAUACUCAAAACUUCAUCAUUUCUUCCUUUCACUUUAGCUACUCGACAUUCAAGAGCAACGUUCAGAGUCUCUUCCGACAUCCGUUUUGGUCUUUUCUUUCUUUCCUGUCUUUUAAAGGAUCUCUUGCUUUCUUCAUGUGUGAUGUCCUUGAUGUCAUUCCACAACUCGUCUGGUCUUCAGUCGUUAGUGUUCAACACGUAAAAUGUGUUCUUGAGGUGGUCUCUAAAUACAGGUGAGAUAUACUCAAGGUCAUAUUUUGGCCCCUUUUGACUUAUUCUAAUUUUCUUCAGUUUCAACUUGAACUCCCAUAUGAGCAAUUGACAGUCUGUUUCACAAUUGAUCCCUGGCCUUGUUGUGACUGAUGAUAUGAGUUUUCCCAUCUUCUCUUUCCACAGAUGUAGUCAGUUUGAUUCCUGUGUAUUCCAUCUGGUAAAGUCCACGUGUAUAGCUGCCGUUUAUGUUGGUGAAAAAAAAUAUUUGCAGUGGAUGAGUCACUGGUCUUGCAGAAUUCUUUCAUGAGAUUUCUGGCGUCAUUUAUUUCAUCGAUGCUGUAUUUUCCAACUACUUUUCCUUCUUUGUUUCCAACUUUAACAUUCUAAUGACCAGUAAUUAUCAAUGCAUCUUGAUUGCAUGUUUGAUCAAUUUCAGGCUGCAGAAGUUGUUUAAAAUCUUCAAUUUCUUUAUCUUUGGCAUUAGUGGUUGGUGCAUAAAUUUGAAUAGUCGUAUAAACUAGUCUUCCUUGUAAGUGUAUGGAUUUUAGCCUAUUAGUGACAACAUUGUACUUCAGGCUAGAUCUUGAAAUGUUCUCUUUGAUGAUAUGUAACGUCAUUCUUUUGACUCUAGUGGAAUAUCCAUGUUUGUAAGACUGCUCACAGACUGUUUCACCAGAGAGUUUUCUGGUACUGCAACAUCUACCACUAAUCUCUGUGAUCCCUGUGAAUUGGCAAAAUAAGAAUAGUGCUAUAGAUUUCUUCCAAAUACAGAAAACAUAAGUAUGAAAAUGUUCUUGCUGUUGAUUAUAUUCUUUACCAAUCUGUUUGUGUGGGAUUUUUGGUACUUCACUUGAAAAAUGAGUCCAAGGUACUGUGAUGUGAUUGUUUACUUUGUGUGGCCUUUCUAGCCAUGGUCUUAUAACAUCCACCCUGGUGCUUGGGCAGGACUGUGUGAUAGGGUAAUUGUGGCUCACCAAGGGGAUUGUUUAUUUUCCCUUCAAAGAGAACCAGUUCCAGAGCAAAGAGGAGGAUUCAACUCCCAUCAAGGAAGAACAGCCAAGAGCCGAGCGUAUAUUAUGGACCUGAGAUCCCUGCACUGAGAAGCUCCUAGAAGCAAGAGACUGAGAUAGAGAGAGGAAGCUGUAACCCUGAAGAUGCUUAAAUACAGACCAGAAGAGGAGUUUGGGGCUUGACACCUGACAUCUUAACACCAGUUCCUGUUUCUUGAGGAAGGAAGAGGUAAAAUAAAUCAGCGUUUACUGUUUCCUUCUCCAUCCCCGGAAGUCCUGAUGAAGACCCUCUCAGCUUCAACUUGAACGUGAAUAUGAGCAACUGAUCAUCUGUUCUGCAGUCAGCCCCUGGCCUGAUUCUGACUCAUGAUAUUGACCAAGUGAAGAGUGAUUCAGAGAAAAACAUGGGUAGAGUGUGACCUAAUUUCCAUAAAAACAAAGAAAUGAAUGUACUUACACGUGUCCCGGCAAAAAGAAGUGUGUAAAACGGUACAUAUGUAUCUUUGGACACUGGACACUUCAGGGGAGCAGGCAGGAGAUGCCAACAUAGUCUCAAGUGUCCACCUGAUCCAAGAAGCUCACUCCUCACCAGCAUCCCUCUCCAACCCAUUGUCCAGUCCAAUCCAUGUCUGAAGAGUUGGCUUCGGGAAUGGUUCCUUUCCUGGGGCAACGGAAGGUCUGGGGGCCAUGACCACCGGGAUCCUUCCAGUCUCAGCGGGACGCCCCUCCUGUGCUGUCCUCAGAAGGGCUCUUCAGGGACCGCACCCCUAGUUUGCGGAGCAGCAGAGCCUGCCCCAGUCUGGACCAGGGACUUUAUUUCUUCCACUCUCACCACUGGCUGAAGGCAGACUCCUGUCUCCACAGACUAAAGAGGAAUUAUCAAAAUGAGCUCGAAACUCUAGAUUUGAGUUAAGGAUCAUAAAUUAACACAGAGAAAUACAACUUUAACAACAAAGACCUGUUUGGAGCCCCAGUUGGAAUUAAAAAAAAAAAAAACUUGAACAGAGGGA